rnacentral:misc_RNA from 1 species
GAAAUGCGAUACGCAAUGCGAAUUGCAGAAUUCCGCGAAUCAUCAGAUUCUUGAACGCAACUGGCGCUGGAGGGAUAUCCUUCCAGCAUGUCUGUUUCAGUGUCUGAAAACAUCCUAAAUCAUUCUAAUGUGUUUGACAAGGAAUAAAUCAUAUAUAUCAAUUGAUAUUAUAUUUAUUAUCCAAGUCUUACAUGAAAGAUGUAUGUGUGGGUCUUUGGAUCCAUCGAAUUGGUCAUCGAUUUCUUCGGUGAUUUCGAUUGGAUAUUCACCAAUUACUCGUAUACACAUAGAAUAAACAUAUAUAUAUUUAUUUAUAGAUAUAUAUAACAUACUUUAUCAUCUGCAUCUGAAAUCAGGCAAGAAAACCCGCUGAACUUAAGC